UACGAAGGGGGCUAGCGUUGCUCGGAAUCACUGGGCGUAAAGGGUGCGUAGGCGGGUCUUUUAAGUCAGGGGUGAAAUCCUGGAGCUCAACUCCAGAACUGCCUUUGAUACUGAAGAUCUUGAGUUCGGGAGAGGUGAGUGGAACUGCGAGUGUAGAGGUGAAAUUCGUAGAUAUUCGCAAGAACACCCAGUGGCGAAGGCGGCUCACUGGCCCGAUACUGACGCUGAGGCACGAAAGCGUGGGGAGCAAACAGG
rnacentral:rRNA from 1 species